GCGAUAAAAGGCAACAAGAUUGCAAUUAGGGUUUGGGAGAGAUCUGAAAAUGGCGAUGAGGAGCUUUUUCAACGAGAUCAGGGGAAUGAAGGUGAAAGACGUGCCGAAGCACGUGAAGCCGAUGGUGACGACAAGCAACGCCAAGAAUUUCAUCCAGCGAGCAUUGGAUAAUUACCAUGCCAAAUACAUUCAGACCGACUCCAUCGUUCCGCUCUAUCACGUCUGCUUUGGUGGCAUGAUCUUCUCUUACCUUGUCGCCCUUCCUGAGGAGCGUCGUCAUCUUGAGCACCAGCAACAUGCCAAAGGCCAUUGAGUUGCUCAUCCGAUUCAGGUUUUGGGAGGGGGCCAUUUGAAUAAAUGAAUUUUCGUUUAUUGGUUGGUGUAUGCGUGAAAGAAGGAAAAACAAAACGCAUGUUGUUUGGACAUCAUUUCUAAUCAUUAAACCUUCCUGUUCAUUUGUUUACUUUGUUUGACAUCGUUUCUUUUUGUUAAACCAAACUUACUAAGGAUACAACAUACUAUGUAUGUUGAGAUAAAACUUCUAAACUUUCUUAUCAUGAAUAAUAUAUAUGCAUUUGUUUACAUGU